rnacentral:rRNA from 1 species
AACGAACGCUGGCGGCGCGUUUUAAGCAUGCAAGUCGAACGGUAGGAAUCCUUCGGGAUUCUGAGAGUGGCGAACGGGUGAGUAACACGUAGAUGAUCUGCCUUGAAGUUGGGGAUAGCCCAUAGAAAUAUGGGGUAAUACCGAAUAAUACCUUACGGUUUUGACUGUUUGGUGAAAGGGGCUUCGGCCUCGCUUUAAGAUGAGUCUGCGGCUUAUUAGCUAGUUGGUAGGGUAAAGGCCUACCAAGGCGACGAUAAGUAGCCGGCCUGAGAGGGUGACCGGCCACAUUGGGACUGAGACACGGCCCAA